GCAGACACAUUCCAGCCAAUCAGCAGCAGACCCUCCCUCCCAGACCCUCCACCUCCUGGACAGCUCACUAAGAAUGCAGCUUCACAAUGAAUGUAAAAUGGAUGCUGUCCAGGAGGUGGGAGGGUCUGGGAGGGAGGGUCUGCUGCUGAUUGGCUGGAAUGUAUCUG
rnacentral:miRNA from 1 species